rnacentral:rRNA from 1 species
UACGAAGGGGGCUAGCGUUGUUCGGAAUUACUGGGCGUAAAGCGCACGUAGGCGGAAAUUUAAGUCAGGGGUGAAAUCCCGGGGCUCAACCCCGGAACUGCCUUUGAUACUGGGUUUCUUGAGUUCGGAAGAGGUAAGUGGAAUUGCGAGUGUAGAGGUGAAAUUCGUAGAUAUUCGCAGGAACAUCAGUGGCGAAGGCGGCUUACUGGUCCGAUACUGACGCCGAGGUGCGAAAGCGUGGGGAGCAAACAGG